rnacentral:rRNA from 1 species
UUUUUUAAUUGAAAGCUUGUAUGAAUGGUUGAAUGAAAUAUUAACUGUUUCAUAAAAAUUAAAUUAAAAUUUUAUUUUUUAGUUAAAAAGCUAAAAUAAAAUUAAAGGACGAGAAGACCCUAUAAAGUUUUAUAAUAUAAUAUUAAUAAUUUUUUUAUAAUAUUUUAAAUUUUUUUUAUUAUAUUAUUUUGUUGGGGUGAUAAUAAAAUUUAAAAAACUUUUAUUGUUAUUUUACAUUGAUUUAUGAAUUUAUGAUCCAAUUAUAUUGAUUAUAAAAUUAAAUUACUUUAGGGAUAACAGCGUA